UACGGAGGGUGCAAGCGUUGUCCGGAUUUAUUGGGUUUAAAGGGUGCGUAGGCGGCUCUUUAAGUCAGCGGCGAAAGUCCAGAGCUUAACUCUGGGAUUGCCAUUGAUACUGAAGAGCUUGAGUAUAGUUGAGGUAGGCGGAAUUGACAGUGUAGCGGUGAAAUGCAUAGAUAUUGUCAAGAACACCGAUUGCGUAGGCAGCUUACUAGCUAUAACUGACGCUGAGGCACGAAAGUGUGGGGAUCAAACAGGA
rnacentral:rRNA from 1 species